rnacentral:rRNA from 1 species
CCGCAAGGGGAGUGGCGAACGGGUGAGUAACGCGUGGGAAUCUACCCAGCAGUGGGGAAUAACACGAGGAAACUUGUGCUAAUACCGGAUAAGUCUUUACGGAGAAAGCUUUAUGCACCAUUGGAUGAGCCCGCACUUGAUUAGCUAGUUGGUAAGGUAAUGGCUUACCAAGGCAACGAUCAAUAGCUGUUCUUAGAGGAAGACCAGCCACACUGGGACUGAGACACGGCCCAGACUCC